rnacentral:tRNA from 1 species
GCGCGAGUGGCGGAAUUGGUAGACGCGCUAGCUUCAGGAGCUAGUGGGCAUUUGCUCGUGGAGGUUCAAGUCCUCUCUCGCGCACCA